rnacentral:rRNA from 1 species
GAUGAACGCUGACAGAAUGCUUAACACAUGCAAGUCAACUUGAACUUCGGUUUGGGUGGCGGACGGGUGAGUAACGCGUAAAGAACUUGCCUCACAGCUAGGGACAACAUUUGGAAACGAAUGCUAAUACCUGAUAUUAUGGUUUUAGGGCAUCCUAGAAUUAUGAAAGCUAUAUGCGCUGUGAGAGAGCUUUGCGUCCCAUUAGCUAGUUGGAGAGGUAACGGCGCACCAAGGCGAUGAUGGGUAGCCGGCCUGAGAGGGUGAACGGCCACAAGGGGACUGGGACACCGCCCUUACUCAUACGGGAGGAAGCAGUGGGGAAUAGUGGACAAUGGACCAAGAGUCUGAUCCAGCAAUUCUGUGUGCACGAUGAAGUUUUUCGGAAUGUAAAGUGCUUUCAGUUGGGAAGAAAAAAAUGACGGUACCAAAAGAAGAAGUGACGGCUAAAUACGUG